rnacentral:lncRNA from 1 species
CCAACCCAGCCAGUGCCCUGUGGUAGAAUGUCUCACUCAGGUCAGAGAGUACAGCAGGAAGAGGGGGCUUGAGGGGGCACCUUCCACCCAUCCCCAUGGCUGACACCCCUUCCGCAACUCGGGAAGGUCCCUGAAGGACCUCAGGACCCAGUUCACCAAACUCCUCAAGCUUUAUAGCCGUGGGAGCUCUCCCAAGUGCUAGGUGGUAGAUGCGCACUGGAGAACAAGUCCCAGUCCCAGACCUGGAGGACUUACAAGGCAUGUAGAGAAGCUGCUGGACCCGCCAAGGCUUCUCUCUACAGUCAGAUGUCUCUGGGCUUAGAAGAUGUACUCUGAGACUGGGGACCCAGGCCUGGACAGGCCACUGCCUUACCCAGUAGCUUCGUGCAAGUCACCUGUAUUUGAGACUCAGCUACCUGCUCUGCAGAACUGCAGUAACGGUGUGGAUCCAUUGACUUCAGAGGGUAAGAUGGCCCUGACUCUCGUGCCUGAGUUUCUAAACUGUGAGACAGUGGCUGCUCUACCAGUUAGAAAUCAGAAGUUUUAGUCUAUCCUGCUGUUCGCUUAUUCAGCAAGUAUUUGUCAACAGCUAUGGUGUGUGCCUACCCAGGCACUCAGACUCAGCCACAGUCUACAGACCUCCCGCUUCCUGACCACUUGCUCUGAAAAUCUGGGUUGUGAUCUCAAAACCUAAAGACUUCCCAAUCCCACGUCCUGACCUCCGUGUCUUGUUUGGAAUAUCGCAACCCCCAAUCCUGUACCCC